rnacentral:hammerhead_ribozyme from 1 species
GUCCAGCUGAGGAGUCCCAAAUGGGACGAAACGUGCAUCCUGGAU